CGCGCGUGUGCAGUUGACUUUGCAUCGCGCAUGGACCGUUUGUCAUAUAACGACGCUAUUUAGUGUACAGCUACAAUAUUAAGAAAAAAGAGAAAAAGAAGACAAAUCUUAUGUUAAUCAACAAUAUUAAGUGUUAACAAGACUUUGUCGUUGCAUUUGCAUACAAGCGAAAUCAAAGCAAGUUUACAAUGCCAGCAAAACGUAAAAGAACCAAUUAAUGUACUAAUGAUCCAGAUGUACCAAUUGAAUUCAAACGCGUUCAAUUUCCAAUUAAAUUGGCAUUCGCAGUGACAAUCAAUAAGUCGCAAGGUCAAAAAAUGUCUGUUUGUGGCUUAGAUUUAAGUAAACCGUGAUUUUUACAUGGACAAUUAUACGUGGCAUCUUCUCGCGUAGGUAAACUAUCCAGUUUGUGUUGGCUAAAGAUGGACUAACCAAAAAUAUCGUACACUCCAUUGAACUAACAGAUUGAUAAUGUUUUUUUUGUGUUCUUAUGAUUAGUGAUUAUGAUAUUAUUAUGAUAUGUAAAUAUAAAAUAGAUUAAUUGAUGUUAUUAAGUACAAUGAAUUAAAGAAAUGGAUGUUUUGUGUUUUGUUA